GAUGAAGAACGUAGCGAAAUGCGAUAAGUAGUGUGAAUUGCAGAAUUCCGUGAAUCAUCGAAUCUUUGAACGCACAUUGCGCCUUCUGGUAUUCCGGAAGGCAUGCCUGUUCGAGAGUCAUUAACAACCGUUUCGAUCCCUUUCUUUCAGAAAUUACAAAGAGGAAAAGGGUUUGGUUAUGGUGGAGGAGGGAAAGGGAGCGUUUAGCCUGUAAAAAAGAGGCUGUGUUCCGCCUCCCCCCCAAAAUUGUACAGGCGGUCGUGUGCGCCCACGCAUCGAGGUGUUGUAAAAGCUGCCACGGCACUUUUCACCUGUGCAGUGCGAGAUUGGCCAGCCGGUUUAAAAACCCCUCCAAACAAUCAAAGGUUGACCUCGGAUCAGGUAGGGAUACCCGCUGAACUUAAGCAUAUCAAUAAGCGGAGGA
rnacentral:misc_RNA from 1 species